GCCGUAACAUGGUGAUUCUUCGCGGCUUGAUUCUAUAUUUUGUUUGCAGACAAGCAUGUAUCUAUAAUCCCACCACCAGACAAAGCCUAACCUUACCCGCCGUCAAAUCCAACCUCUUUGCGAAAGAAUCAUUUCGUCAGAGUGUACUCUACUUCUUGGGACAUGAUCCUGUUCUUGAUCAAUACAAAGUAGUCUGCACUGUUGUGAGAUCCUCAAAACGUUAUAAGAAGAUAACUUCGGAGCAUUGGGUCUUGGUACUGGAAGCCGGAGGUUCAUGGAAAAGAAUUGAGUUUGAUAAACAUCAUCUUCCUACAAGACCAGGAGGAGUGUGCAUCAAUGGAGUUAUAUAUUAUAUGGCUUCCACUGGCUUGUUUCCCCGAGCCAUUGUCAGUUUUGACGUUAGAUCUGAAGAGUUCAAUAUGUUCCAAGCACCUCGUGUGCUGCCUGAGUUAGGUUGGCCUGUGGGGUUUAUAGAGUAUGCUGGAAAACCAACUAUUGUUGAUCAUAGCCUUCUUAACAGCUUAGGUUUGGUGGACUUAUGGGUCCUUGAAGAUGCUGGAAAAUGGUCGACGAAAUCUCUGGUUUUGAAGCUUUGUCAGAUGCAUUUAGUCGAUAAAGACAUUGAUCUGACGGUGGAAGGUAUUACUCAAAACGGUGAGGUUAUCUUUGCACAUAGACCGUUGAUUUACCCUUCUUACAUUCUCUACUAUGAUCUGCAAAAGAACGAUCUAAGAAAGGUUAGAAUCAGAGGUAUACCGUUACACUGGUUUAAUAAGCCUGAUGCAAGCUUGUAUUCUUUUUUCAAGCAUAUGGAUAAGAGUGAAAGCAUCAUGCAUUUGGAAAUUUAAUUGCCAUUACUUGUUAUUUUUUUCCUUCCAGCCUAAGAUUAUCAUUAUCUAAUUGUUUUGCCUUCAAUAAUACAAUGCAACUAUUAAUUUUAUAAUAUCUUUGUUAUGUUAUCAUGUUGCAAACAAACAAUCGUUAAUCAAAUAUUUCUUAUUUCUUUUGUUUUAAUACUUCUUCCGUUUUCUGUUAAAUAAUUUGUUAGACAUAAAUUUUUGUUCUAAAAUAGAUGAUACUUUCAAAUUUCAAUGCAAUAUGUUGUAUUGAUUCAUGACAUGGUUGUACCCAAAGAAACAGAACAUGUGAUUAAUGGGUUAGAACAUCAGUCGGAGCAUGUUGUCAAGUUUUCACAUUGGGAAAUCCGAUGAGGCCAUAGAGGAACGUUCAAGGCUAUCAAAGGGGACUAUCUAUUACGUUGUAGGAGCACCUUCCCAACAAUCCCAUAUGGUGGUGAAGUUAUGUUGCUGAGUUUUGACUUCAGGUCCGAGAGGGUUUUUUUUUUUUGGUAAAAAGGUCCGAGAGAUUUGAUCAUAUUAAUAGUCCUGAAGCUACAGUAACAAACCUGCAUAUCUAUCUGGUAAACUUCAAAGGGAAGUUAUGGUGCUCAUGUUGCAGCAACGGUGCAGAGAUGUGGGUUAUGGAGAAUGCUGAGAAACAAUAGUGGUCGAAUACUAUUUUUUGCUUGCCUAAUAUCCCGCUCGAGGGGUUAAGGUGUCCUCGCUUUACGGGUGUCACUUUAGGUGGUGAGAUCUUUAUACUCCAACUUAUAUAUGGCCCUAAUGACCCUUUAUAUAUAUGACUACUAUUAUGAUCCGGAACGACGCAGUUUUAGAAGAACUGAAAUCGAAGCUACUACGCCUUGUAGCGAUUCUAUGCUAAUAGUAUGUGUUAUCGAUCAUGUUGUGAAUACAAUGCGUUUGGAAAUAUCCAUUUGAUUCAUUGUUCAUAUCAAGAUGGUAUAAUACAACCCAGCCCCGGCUCAACAUAAAUCGAAACGAACCAAACUGAAUACUCAAAGGCUCAAGAGUCUCAAAAGAAUUCAUGAGAUCAAAGUUGCACAAGUAGUCAUGAUCCUACCCAAAAAAAAAAAAAAUGUCGUCAGGUUAAGGGGGCUAGAGCCUUAUCGACAAUAUAACGAGCGAAUGUGUAGUAUAGAAUGAGAUUCGUUUAUACAAAAUUACUGGUUUAGUAUGACAUUAUUUUUGGUUAAUAAAUCAUAAAUAUCAGUGUAUAUGUUCAGAUUGCCUAGUAGGAUUUGAUUCGUGUUUUGGAAGUGCUUCUCAACUUGCAUACAUUAAUAAAUAUAUUUACUUAGACAAAAUAAAAUUUCAAACUUUCACCAUUUGUGUAUAAAUCAUAAAUAUAUAGCUAAGCUAACUCAUGAAUUACAGAUGAACGAUUUGAGCAAGGCUGAAAUCAAAGGAUACCAGUCCAGACAACGGGUCUAGUAGCUCCUACUUUUGUUUGAAGCUUAUGGAUAAAUGUGAAAGCAUCAUGCACUUGCAAACUUGAAUACCAUUAUUUUUUCUUGUCCCCCUCAUUCAAAGCUAAGAUUAUCAUCUUAUUAUUGUUUUUGCUUAUUUUUAUGUAACUUUAAUUUUACUUCUGCUGCAAAAAAAAAAAAAAAGAAAAAGAAAAAGCAAUUGUUAAAUGUUGUUGUUGACAUAAAAGAAAGAUUGCUAUAAAUAAAAGAUUACCAUAAUCGAAACUAGCAAGCAUCUUGACACCAACAACCAAGAAAAACCCUAGCUCGGACGUGCUAUACAUAGGUUAGAGGUUUAGUGCAAAGAAAAAAACCCUGACGUACGUUUUAGAAAUAAUUAUAGAAAGAGUUGCAGCUUGGCAGCUCCUAUACAGCAUAUGAUGAUUAUGAUUAAGGACUAGGGAUUCAUUAGAACAUAUAAGUUUCCGAAACAGAUAUGUCUAGAACUCUGUUUUCAUCUUUCCCAUGGAAGAAGAGGGCGAUGAUGAGAAGAGGAAGAAAAAGAAAGAGAAGACGAGAAGAUUUGGUCGCUCCUGAAAUUCCUUUGGAUCUCCAGAUCGAGAUUCUGACUAGAUUGCCUGCUAGAUCGCUGAUGAGGUUCAAGUGCGUCUCAAAGCUAUGGUCUUCUCUUAUCCGGUCUCGAUUCUUUAGCAACCGUUAUCAUAAGGUCGCAUCCACACGACCGCGACCACCUCGUCUAUACAUGAGUUUGGUGGACCACCUCAAGUGUAAUUCAAUGGAGAUCUGCCAAAAUCCCCGCGAGACGGUACUGCUAUCAUCAUCGUCUAGUAGUGCAAACUCUUUCGACCAGGCUCUGACAAUGCCAGGGAUAGGAGGCCGUAACAUGGUGAUUCUUCGCGGCUUGAUUCUAUAUUUUGUUUGCAGACAAGCAUGUAUCUAUAAUCCCACCACCAGACAAAGCCUAACCUUACCCGCCGUCAAAUCCAACCUCUUUGCGAAAGAAUCAUUUCGUCAGAGUGUACUCUACUUCUUGGGACAUGAUCCUGUUCUUGAUCAAUACAAAGUAGUCUGCACUGUUGUGAGAUCCUCAAAACGUUAUAAGAAGAUAAC
rnacentral:lncRNA from 1 species